UUUUGUGAAUGUGUGAUGCGUGCCUUAGGACUUCCUGCUGUCUUGUAGGUAUGCCCUUGGUUAGAAAGUUCUUGUUUCUGUCAGAGAGGUAGAACUGUCAUCUGCAUCAUCUACUUAAAGGGCAACCUGGUGCCUGCAUCAUCUACUUACUCCACGAAAAUUGAUUAAACGGUCUACCACAUCAUAUGCUAAAGAAUGAAAUCGCAGAGACUAAUAAGAAGAGGGACAAACACUGCAAUUUGGGACCCCAGAUAAAUGGCGGGUUUACCUUGUGGGGGCAGUAUGACGCCUGUAGCUGAUCUCUGAAGGUUGAUCCCUCAUAGUGGGACUCAGAUCCUGCUGUCCCACAGUAUGGAAACAAACCCUUAAAGGAUCCGAGUCCAUACUUCCUCAACUUCCUCAACUUUGCAGAAUCACAUGUUCGAAGCAGUAUUCAGUCACACGUCUGGUUACAAUCGAACAAUUGGACUGCAAUGCCUGCAGAUUUUCACUUGAUGAGAUUCUGUUUUCUAAGAUUAAAUACAAGCAAGAAAACAGACAUUCACCUCCAAUUACAUCGAUCGGGCUUUGCCUUGGUCUUCAAAUUUAAAAUGCAGAACUGUAAUAUGUAUGUAUGUUGUUGGUAUGGUUCUUCCUAUUCUGGAAAUUGAACAUACAUGAGGAAUCUGCAGACUUUAUAUUUCAGCUUGCAUUCUCUUUUUACAUGAAGAAAAAUGAAGUAAAUACUUGUAAGCAAUAAGUGUUACCUUGGAUUCCUACUCGUAGAUCUGGGCGUACUUCGUGUAGCUAGCAAUUUGAAUGCAUGAGAUUAUGUGAUUGUGCCAGCGAGCCUGUCAACCAGAAUGCAGAAGUCUGGGUCGUGAAAAUGCAUUGUUGAUUAGUUGUGUACUUACUGCUGGAGCUAAAAUGGUCGUAGUUCUUGUGCCUUAACUCAUCACAUGCAGUCCUCCUGCAUAGUUUGAAAAAAGAAAUAAUUCACAAAUCAAUAUUAAGGAAGACAGAUAAUGGUAAGAUAAGAAAAGCUAGCUAGCCAACGGCAGAAGGACUCUUUCGGUUACCUGGCUUGUAAUAAUCAUCAUCCAGUCGCUCCCAAAAUUAUUCAGUACAGGGCCAAAAUCACAAUCGUCAGUCUCAUGCAAAUCUUUAAUCUCCCAUGCCGUUGGAUACACAUCAGGCCUAAAAAAAUUAUGCAAAAAAAUAAUCAAGUAUGAGAUGUAAGAUUCAGAGUACAGUCUUUAGAAAGAUAAGUUUUCUUUCACAACAAAAGCCAUCUAAACCAAGUCUGAUGCCCACUAAAAACCAUCUAAAGAGGCAAUGUAAUUGACCAAUGGAUUGUUAUCUUACUUCAUUCAUGGAGUCCACAAGUGGGAUCAGAUGAGAAACUGAAGGUGGUGUUCCACUCUCUAUCCGUGCAAGAAUGCAAUCUUGCAUUCAAUACAUUAAUUACUCAGUAAAAAAAGCUUAUUGGUGCUUGCCGAACGGUUUGAGGCAUCAGAUAUGGGAAGGAGAUCUCAC
rnacentral:lncRNA from 1 species